AGUGAACGCUGGCGGUAGGCCUAACACAUGCAAGUCGAACGGCAGCACAGUAAGAGCUUGCUCUUACGGGUGGCGAGUGGCGGACGGGUGAGGCAUACAUCGGAAUCUACUUUUUCGUGGGGGAUAACGUAGGGAAACUUACGCUAAUACCGCAUACGACCUACGGGUGAAAGCAGGGGAUCUUCGGACCUUGCGCGAUUGAAUGAGCCGAUGUCGGAUUAGCUAGUUGGCGGGGUAAAGGCCCACCAAGGCGACGAUCCGUAGCUGGUCUGAGAGGAUGAUCAGCCACACUGGAACUGAGACACGGUCCAGACUCCUACGGGAGGCAGCAGUGGGGAAUAUUGGACAAUGGGCGCAAGCCUGAUCCAGCCAUACCGCGUGGGGGAAGAAGGCCUUCGGGUUGUAAAGCCCUUUUGUUGGGAAAGAAAAGCAGCAGGUUAAUACCCCGCUGUUCUGACGGUACCCAAAGAAUAAGCACCGGCUAACUUCGUG
rnacentral:rRNA from 1 species